UAGUCGUCGUCGUUAUGAAGGUUACUGUAUUAUUGCAGCCUUCGCAAUCUGCAUUGUUGGCUAGAGAAGAACGAGAAGAAAUACCGUUUGUAGAAGAAGAAGAAGAAGAAGAAGAAGAAGAAGAAGAAGGGGAGGAGGAAAAGGCCCGUCGAGUUGUAAGUACGCGCGGAAAAACAAACGAAUGAACGAACGAAGGGUUAAAAAAAGGUUCGAUCAAAGAAGAAAGAUUAAUCACCCCCCUGAACCCCGCUUUUUCUUGUCAAAAUUUCUUUAAAACAAGAUAAUAAAUAAGUAGAUUUUUAACAAUGUUCUAAUAUCAUUCUCUUAAUAUCAUCGAAUCGUUAUAUUUGUCGCUUACGUACUUAUAUGAUUAUUUCAAAAUAAUAAUUCAUCUAGGUGAAAUAAAACUAAAGAUGGGAAAAAUAAUGAACAGCAGGAAAUGGCAGGGAACGAAUAAGAAUACAAAACGAAAACUAGACAAAUAAAAUAGGUAAAGGAAAGAAAAGAGGACACGAUUACGUAACGCAAAA
rnacentral:lncRNA from 1 species